GGAUGUAGCCAAGUGGAUAAGGCA
rnacentral:tRNA from 2 species